rnacentral:rRNA from 1 species
UACGUAGGGUGCGAGCGUUGUCCGGAAUUACUGGGCGUAAAGAGCUCGUAGGUGGUUUGUCGCGUUGUUCGUGAAAACCUGAGGCUUAACCUUGGGCGUGCGGGCGAUACGGGCAGACUGGAGUACUGCAGGGGAGACUGGAAUUCCUGGUGUAGCGGUGGAAUGCGCAGAUAUCAGGAGGAACACCGGUGGCGAAGGCGGGUCUCUGGGCAGUAGCUGACACUGAGGCGCGACAGCGUGGGGAGCAAACAGG